AGGCUGGGGUCUCAGAAGGCAGCGCUCUCAGGGCACCUCCACCAUGGCCUGGGCUCUGCUCCUCCUCAGCCUCCUCUCUCAGGGCACAGGGUCCUGGGCGCAGGCUCCCCUCACUCAGCCGCCCUCAUUGUCUGGGAAUCCAGGGACGUCGGUCACCAUCUCCUGUGCUGGAAGCAGCAAUGACAUUGGGAGGUAUAAUGAUGUCUCCUGGUACCAACAGCGCCCGGGCGCAGCCCCUAAACUCCUGAUUUAUAGGGUCAGCAAUCGGCCCUCGGGGAUCCCUGAGCGCUUCUCUGGCUCCAAGUCUGGCAACACGGCCACCCUGACCAUUGCUGGGCUGCAGGCCGAGGACGAGGCCGAUUAUUACUGUUGCUCAUAUGCAGGCAGUGGCACUUUCCACGGUGGGACCCAGUGA